GGAUGUGAGGACAAUCUGGCUGUGACAUCUGUGACCCCAUUGAUUGCCAGGGUUGAUUCAGCUGAUCUGGCUGGCGGGUGUCCCCUUCCUCACUCACCACUCCAUGUGUGUCCCUCCCGAAGAUGCGUACUCAGUCAAAGAGGAUGGCCUUCCCAGAAUAGAGACAGACUGGUCUUUGGUCAAGGGUAUACAAGUAGCUGUGCUCCCCUGCUAGAACCUCCAAACAAGCUCUCAAGAAUAAGGAAGCUAUCAAGCAAGGGGAUUGGAAAUGGAGCUCUGGUGGUGGAAAUUGUCUGGAAUUAUACCCCUCUUA
rnacentral:snRNA from 1 species